UUAACAUGAAAGUCUGUGUGACUCUUCGUCUCCUCUCUUGUGUGUCUGUCUCCAGGAGCAGGACACAAGGGCCCAUCGGUCCCGGCAAGUAUGGCUACGGCAAGGCCCCGUACAUCUUACCCCUGCAGACGGACACCACACACACGCCACAGAGGCUUCGAAGACAGAGGCCCUCAUCCCGGCCGUCCAGGUCCCAGGGGACAUCUGCUACCAGACAUGGCUACAACCUGCCAGGGCCUCUGUACCAAAGUGAAAAUGGCCCUCGUUCUGGACAUCAGGCCUCAGAGGCCUCCAUUUACCAGCUGCCUUUGACUCAGGACCAAGGCUUCUCUGCAGCUUCCAGUCUCUUCCACAGCCCAGAAACAAGUAGCCGUGGUGUGGGGGCCCAUAGGACAGACCGGAGCUUCUCGCAGCCCCUGCGAUCUGCAGCUAUCUCAUGCAUCGGGGCCUAUCGGCAGUACAAGCUCUGCAACACCAACGCAUGCCCAGAAAGCAGUAGGAGUAUCCGCGAGGUGCAGUGUGCCUCCUACAACAACAAGCCGUUCAUGGGCCGGUUUUACGAGUGGGAACCGUUUGCAGAAGUAAAGGGCAAUCACAAGUGUGAGCUGAACUGCCAGGCAAUGGGCUACCGCUUCUAUGUGCGGCAAGCUGAGAAGGUUAUUGACGGCACCCCCUGUGACCAAAACGGCACAGCCAUCUGCGUGUCAGGACAGUGCAAGGGUCAGCCAACAGAUUCCAGCACUUGCUGAACAUCUAUCUACCUUGUGAUCAGGUAGGUGUCAAAUAUUCUUAUGUAAUCUCCAGCACAGCCCUCUGUGAUAGGGUUUAUUAUUGCAUUAGGGGAUUAAAUAGAGAAGUAGCUCUCUGUAUAUAGCUUAUUAAAUGGUGGGGCUAGGAUUGCUCUCUAUUCCUCAGACAUGCUGGGCGAUAACCAUUGUGCCCCAAGUUCCCACGGAGCAGAUCCUGGUCUCCCAAGCUGUUUUGCUCCAUCAUUCCCUGUACCACAAGCAGAUUGUGUUGGUUAUGACUUCCGGUGCCUCCAAAGGCCCUGUCAUUUCCUCUCCUGAUGUGUAAGUGCCCCUCCUGCUCACACCCCUUCCUCAGCCAUCACACUGAGAAGUGUGUUGGCCACUCCAGACACUGGCUUUCUUCUCCACCAGAAUACCUCCCUGUCUUUCUACUUUGCAGUCUUGACAAAACAGACUGGAGUUCUCUAAAAAACACAUCAGCCAAGAGCACCAUAAAGUUUAAGUACAUAUAGGGGUGGUGUAUUUUAUGCCAAGGAAUCUUAAAACCCAAAGGGACGAUGAUCAGUCCUCUGUUGGUAGAGAUCAGGAAGCUACAGACCAAAUGAAGUUAGUGGCUCAACUUCACACAGCAAUGCUGAAAGCUUGUUCUGUGAAGCAGACCCCACACCUAGAGCAGUGCUGGGUAGUAGCAGCAUUGCUCCUGUGGAACUGUGCUCACCUAGACAAGGAACUUUUACAGGAAGCAGUGUUGUCACUGGGCUCCCUGAGGCAUUCUGUACCAGCACCCACAGAGUCCUGCUCUGUCUGGGCUCUCCCAGGCACAGACCCACAAGAAUUAGCCAAAGACACUAGUGCCAGUGGUUCCCCCAGCAAGUGGCCUUAGCAGGGGGACAGCAGUAAGGGAGGGAAGUGACCCAGCAUAGCUGUGUUACCACACCAGUGGCCACCAUGGUCCUUGAGGUUCAAUCCUGCUGGAUUCCAUGUAGCACACAACUCAAAUUUAUGCAAUAAGAGGGCCAGGACACUGUGCAUAUGGCCCCCAGCUCCUGUUCCAGGAUCAGUGCAUGGUGAUUCUGGAAUCUUCCCUCUGCAGCAUUUCCAGCUGAUGUCUUCAAGGAAUAAGUCCCCAGGAAAAGUCACAAGUAUCUCCAGCAACCCCCAGUAGAGCAAUGUGGAAAGAAUAUAGCCUGCAAAGUCAGGGACAGGGGCACUCCCAAGGAUCCACAAGAGGAGGCUCCCUUGAAAGAAAGACAGAACACCAUGUUGUGUGCAUGCAUGCCUCUGUGUAUGUGUGUGUGUGUGUGUGUGUGUGUGUGUGUGUGUGUGUGUGCAUGUGCAUGCUUGACUUACCCACAAACUCACCUUGAUGACCCAUCAUGCUUGCCUCUUGCUUUUGGCAAUUUGGAAGCUCAGAACCAGUCUGUAGCCUCUGUCUAGCUAUUGGAAAGGCCUUAAUGGAAUGUAACCUUUGUACCAAACUUACCCUGCUUAUUUUUUUCAUUGGCGUAAAGUGAGUAUGAAUGAGCACAAAGACCAGUUAAGUUACCCAGUGAAAAGAGACCAAACUGAAACUAGUCAUAGCAUCAGCCACCUUGCUGUCCUCGGCUCCAGCUUUACAUAAAGAUUUUUUUUAAAUCAUGGAUUGCUGAUCUCCAUCAUGCAAGUGCUCACUGCAUGGGAAAAGCACAGAACUCUUACCCAUGCAUCAAGUUUUCAGGGAGUCAGCAGAGAGCUGCAAAUAAAGUAAAAUGCAUGUGUUCUUCAAAGAGGCCCCCAAACCAAUAUGUCUGUGAGCUCUGCAAUGCUGUGGAAUAGGAGACUCCUGAGUCAUGGAUGAUGUGAUAAGAAAUCCCUGAAGGCCAGGCUGCGUCCUGUCUUAAUGAAUUGGGAUUCAGGACCCUUUUGAUAACACAGAAAAUACAAAAAUAAGUGAAAGCGCCAGGGAUAUAGCUCAGCGGCACAAACGCCUGCCUGGCAAAUGCGAGGUCCUGAGUUUGAUUCCCAGUACAAAAAAAAAAAAAGUGAAAGCAAGGACCAGCAGAAGCAGUCUCCAGAACUUGUCAUAGUCUCUCGCUAAGGCUCCUGUAUAAAAUAUUUCUCCCUGUGCUUAAUUUUUGUUGAUUACAUUUUUUAUUGCUUACACAAUUUGGCAGAUUUUCUGUACUGAGCAUGUGUUAUUUUAAUAUGGGGAGGAAAUGGAAAAAUAUUUCAUCUCAUCUGAGUCUUUUUUUAUCAUAACAGCACCCGCUCCCCCAAAUGUCUUGGUUUCAAAAAAUAUGUUUGGCAAGAAAUACCCAGGGCAAAUCGUGGCCUGACUUUCAGAACCUAAGGUUAUGGUUGUUUUCUUCACUGGUCAGAAGCCCUGGAGAAAUGAAGAUUCUGUCCUCUGAUAUUCACAGAUGCGGGCCAGGCCCACGCUAUGUUUUUCCUUACCAUUUAGUUUCAUGUUUGAAGGGAAAUAUCAAACGAGGUGUCAGAGUUAAAAGGAAUGGGAAAAAGGCAGAGAAGAGGGAAGUGAGGUGAGGAUUUGGGGAAGGGAGGAAGGAAGGAAGAAAGGAAGGAAGGAAAGAAGAAGGAAGGAAGGAAGGAAGGAAGGAAGGAAGGAAGGAAGGAAGGAAGGAGGAAGGAACAGAGGGUGGGCAAGAGGGUAGGAAGAGAGAGAGAAACUUUAAAAACCUUAACUCCACUCUUGUUCCUUCCUUUCUUCUAAUAAUCAACAAUGCUGACUAUUUCUCAGAGUUAUUUAUUUAUAAUACCUUCAUUCUAAAAAGUGAUUUAAGUAACCUUUUUAAAAUUUACACAAGAAAAAAAAUUAGGGAGGAAAAUGGAGCAAAGAAGAACCUCGGGCAGAAGAAAAUAACACGUGUUUCAUUAAGACUGGGGUCAAAAAUCCAUGUGAUUAGGUCCUACUGGGAAGGGGUCAGAAAUUUUCUCUGAACCUCAUACUAGCAGAAGGAAAGGAACACAGUCAACUGUGGGGCUCACCGAACAACAAUAACAGAAAAUAAAUUCCUUAGGGGUGAGGCGUUGAGCGAGGUAGUUUGGGGAAGGAAACAAAGGGCGUAAAAGAUACCAGCCCCUUUGAGUCAGGAAGUCAGUGACACUAUGUAGGGUGAGGACAGACAGCAGUUCCUCCAAAUUGCUCAGCAGUUGAACAUGUCUUCCACACCUCGCACUCUCCUACCAGUGCAUUGACACAAGAACCCCACACGGCAAGCACAGCUGCUUGUGUUUUUACAGGAAGCUUUCUGCUUUACGGAAGGCUUUCCCGUGUGUGCUUCUUUUUUUGCAGUACUCUUCUGUGAGAGUAUUCUGUGAAAUUCUUCUUUCUGUGAGAUAAGAUCACACUGCCAAUCAUCGGCAAACCUGGAAUAGAAAUCAGAAGCUUUCAGAGACACCUCUCCUACUACUUCGUAAGAUAGGGCGCAGAACCGUGGUGAUAGAGAUAGGAACCUUUGGCUUUGAAG
ensembl:lincRNA